GCCUCGUUGGUCUAGGGUAUGAUUCUCGCUUCGGUGUGAGAAAUCCUGGGUUCAAAUCCCGGAUAAGCCC